GCCGGGUGUGGCGGCGUGCACCUCUAGUCCCAGCUACUGGGGAGGCUGAGGCAGGAGAAUUGCUUGCACCCGGGAGGUGGAGGUUGCAGUGAGCUGAGAUCGCACCACUGCACUCCAGCCUGGGUGACAGAGCGAUACUCUGUCUCAA
rnacentral:SRP_RNA from 2 species